rnacentral:lncRNA from 1 species
GUAGGUUCGUUAUAAAGCACAAUUAUUUAAAAACAUAGCUUCGUGUUCACACGUUGCUUUACAGCUUGUUUAUAGCAGGCCUAGAAGCAAAUGUUCCAAAAAAUUGCUUAAAGGUCGUUGCGGUGAGGUUCCCACUUCACUUGGCCUUCUGAGGAUCGCCAGCGCACAGAAAAAGUGAAGGGAGUUCAUCUCUCCUCCUUGCGAUUAAUGCCUGUUUUAUGUGUCGUUGUGUUUCGUGCCUUCGCUGGAGAUCAGCUGCUGCUCCGAAAACGAGCCAAAGCUAGUAUCAGUAUCUUCAAAUAUGAGAGUGAAUCAGCAUUCUACUUUGAGCCUCUAAUUUGGUUAUACCCACAGCUAAUUCUGAGAUGGCUGCUGCAGUGGGUUGUAAGUGGUCUGCUUUGACAUUGGCCACCUCAUCCAGAGAUGGGAAUCGGCAAUGUGAAACAGCUGACCUCAUG